AAGGAAUAUUGGACAAUGGCCGCAAGGCUGAUCCAGCCAUGCCGCGUGCAGGAUGAAGGUGCUCUGCAUCGUAAACUGCUUUUAUCUGGGAAUAAACCCCUCUACGUGUAGAGGGCUGAAUGUACCAGAAGAAUAAGGAUCGGCUAACUUCGUGCCAGCAGCCGCGGUAAUACGAAGGAUCCAAGCGUUAUCCGGAUUUAUUGGGUUUAAAGGGUGCGUAGGCGGCUUAUUAAGUCAGUGGUGAAAGCCUGAAGCUCAACUUCAGAAUUGCCAUUGAUACUGAUGAGCUUGAGUAUAGUUGAGGUGGGCGGAAUGUGUCAUGUAGCGGUGAAAUGCUUAGAUAUGACACAGAACACCGAUUGCGAAGGCAGCUCACUAAGCUAUAACUGACGCUGAUGCACGAAAGCGUGGGGAGCAAAC
rnacentral:rRNA from 1 species